GACGAACGCUGGCGGCGUGCUUAACACAUGCAAGUCGAGCGGUAAGGCCCUUUCGGGGGUACACGAGCGGCGAACGGGUGAGUAACACGUGGGUGACCUGCCCUCAGCUCUGGGAUAAGCCUGGGAAACCGGGUCUAAUACCGGAUAUGACUCCAUGACGCAUGUUGUGGGGUGGAAAGCCUUGUGCGGCUGAGGAUGGGCCCGCGGCCUAUCAGCUUGUUGGUGGGGUGAUGGCCUACCAAGGCGACGACGGGUAGCCGGCCUGAGAGGCGACCGGCCACACUGGGACUGAGACACGGCCCAGACUCCUACGGGAGGCAGCGGUGGGAAUCUUGCGCAAUGGCGAAAGCCUGACGCAGCGACGCCGCGUGAGGGAUGACGGCCU
rnacentral:rRNA from 1 species